rnacentral:rRNA from 1 species
GACGAACGCUGGCGGCGUGCUUAACACAUGCAAGUCGAACGGAAAGACCCUGCUUUUGUGGGGUGCUCGAGUGGCGAACGGGUGAGUAACACGUGAGUAACCUGCCCUUGACUUUGGGAUAACUUCAGGAAACUGGGGCUAAUACCGGAUAGGAGCUCCUGCUGCAUGGUGGGGGUUGGAAAGUUUCGGCGGUUGGGGAUGGACUCGCGGCUUAUCAGCUUGUUGGUGGGGUAGUGGCUUACCAAGGCUUUGACGGGUAGCCGGCCUGAGAGGGUGACCGGGGCAGGUGGGACGAGGGUACGGCACGGAGUACUACGGGGGGGAGGGGCGGGGAGUAGUGGACAGUGCGGGGGGGUCGAAGUCGGUAACCCCGGGGGGGGGAGGAGGGUCAUGGGGGGGAAAAACGAGUUCGGGGGUAACGAAGGGUGAGUGACGGUAAUGGGUAAAGAAACACCGGCUAACUACGU